rnacentral:rRNA from 1 species
GACGAACGCUGGCGGCGUGCUUAACACAUGCAAGUCGAACGGAAAGGCCCUGCUUUUGUGGGGCGCUCGAGUGGCGAACGGGUGAGUAACACGUGAGUAACCUGCCCUUGACUUUGGGAUAACUUCAGGAAACUGGGGCUAAUAUCGGAUAGGAGCUCCUGCUGCAUGGUGGGGGUUGGAAAGUUUCGGCGGUUGGGGAUGGACUCGCGGCUUAUCAGCUUGUUGGUGGGGUAGUGGCUUACCAAGGGUUUGACGGGUAGCCGGCCUGAGAGGGUGACCGGCCACAUUGGGACUGAGGUACGGCCCAGAAUCCUACGGGAGGCAGCAGGGGAGAAUAUUGCAGAACGAGCGGAAGCCUGAUGCAGCGAUGCCGCGUGCGGGAUGACGGCCUUCGGGUUGUGAACCGCUUUCGCCUGUGACGAAGCGUGAGUGACGGUAAUGAGUAAAGAAGCACCGGCUAACUACGUG